GAUUGAACGCUGGCGGCAGGCCUAACACAUGCAAGUCGAACGGUACCAGGAAGAAGCUUGCUUCUUUGCUGACGAGUGGCGGACGGGUGAGUAAUGUCUGGGAAACUGCCUGAUGGAGGGGGAUAACUACUGGAAACGGUAGCUAAUACCGCAUAACGUCGCAAGACCAAAGAGGGGGACCUUCGGGCCUCUUGCCAUCGGAUGUGCCCAGAUGGGAUUAGCUAGUAGGUGGGGUAACGGCUCACCUAGGCGACGAUCCCUAGCUGGUCUGAGAGGAUGACCAGCCACACUGGAACUGAGACACGGUCCAGACUCCUACGGGAGGCAGCAGUGGGGAAUAUUGCACAAUGGGCGCAAGCCUGAUGCAGCCAUGCCGCGUGUAUGAAGAAGGCCUUCGGGUUGUAAAGUACUUUCAGCGGGGAGGAAGGGAGUAAAGUUAAUACCUUUGCUCAUUGACGUUACCCGCAGAAGAAGCACCGGCUA
rnacentral:rRNA from 1 species